rnacentral:rRNA from 1 species
CAAUAGCGUAUACUAAAGUUGUUGCGAUUAAAAAGCUCGUAGUUGGAUCUCAGGCAUGGGCGCACGGUCCGCCUCGCGGCGGUCACUGUGCGUUUUGUUUCCCAUCCUACGCUUCCCAGCUAUCAGCCCAUGGUGCUCUUCACUGAGCGUUUUGGGUGGCCGGAACGUUUACUUUGAAGAAAUUAGAGUGUUCAAAGCAGGCACGUCGCCUGAAUAAUGGUGCAUGGAAUAAUGGAAUAGGACCUCGGUUCUAUUUUGCUGGUUUUCGGAACACGAGGUAAUGAUUAAGAGGGACAGACGGGGGCAUCCGUAUUGCGGUGUUAGAGGUGAAAUUCUUGGAUCAUCGCAAGACGAACAACUGCGAAAGCAUUUGCCAAGCAUGUUUUCAUUAG